rnacentral:rRNA from 1 species
CAGUAGGGAAUCUUCCACAAUGGACGCAAGUCUGAUGGAGCAACGCCGCGUGAGUGAAGAAGGUCUUCGGAUCGUAAACUCUGUUGUUAGAGAAGAACACGAGUGAGAGUAACUGUUCAUUCGAUGACGGUAUCUAACCAGCAAGUCACGGCUAACUACGUGUCAG